rnacentral:rRNA from 1 species
ACGCUCGACACCUACGGAGGCAGCAGUAGGGAAUCUUCCACAAUGGACGCAAGUCUGAUGGAGCAACGCCGCGUGAGUGAAGAAGGUCCUCGGAUCGUAAAACUCUGUUGUUAGAGAAGAACACGAGUGAGAGUAACUGUUCAUUCGAUGACGGUAUCUAACCAGCAAGUCACGGCUAACUACGUGUCAGCAGCCGCGGUAAUCUGAGCGGGCUGGCAAGGC